GAUCACGUCUUGUUAUUAUUUUGGCUUCUUUCUACAAGCGGUUAGCAGCCAGACUAUUUUUGCCAGUUACAAAAAUAUAGCACCUUGGCAUAUGAAAUAUUUUAAGCUGAAAGAAUUUACUGAAGAAGGAAGAGCCUCCUGACCCUCCCCUUCCAUUUUCCUCUAAAGCGGGUCAUAAGACCUUCAUGCGAAAGAUGUCCACCCUAUACCUGCAGGAAAAGAGCAUCUUUAUCUUAGAAAAUGAAGGGACACGGUGUGGAAUCUGAACAAACAGACCUUGCUGGUAGUGAUUCUGACACCAGUGGACCUCCAGGCGCGGCUCCUCCUACCACGAGAGGACUCUUGACUUUUCUAAUAAAGAAGGUUCUGGCCAAUCAGUCCAAGAAAGGCUCUGAUUCUCUGCCAGGCUGUUGUCUCUGCCGAAAUGCUCCUCAGGGUGGAAGGUGCUGCUGCGGCAGGACAUGUCUCCUGAGUUUUCAGUGCAAUGAGAAACUGAUUCCACAAAAGGAAAGCAACUGCUAAAGAGCCUCAGAAACAGAAUGCGCUUUUAGAGAGACAGAGAACAACAUUACAAACCACUGUUGGAGCUAAUAAAGAAAGAGCAAGGAUUCGACA
rnacentral:lncRNA from 13 species